rnacentral:lncRNA from 1 species
CGAAAACGAAAACAUCAUAUCAGCCAACAGUUAUCAGCCCGAAUAUUUUGAAAGAAAAUGGUUUCAUAUUUUGUGUUAUGCUUAUGUUUUGGACUCUCAGGGGCUUUUUUGUUUGACACUAGUACGAUUUCUCCGGGCGGAGGAAGCGCGGGAAUAACAGAUAAACAUUACUAUGACUUACUCGAUUUAAUCAUGGAAGAAAGAAGAUCACGCCGGCAACUGGAGCAGUAUGUAGGUGGUUCAUUACAAGGUGAAUUAAAACAUCUACAAAACGAGACCAUUUCAUUGAAGACGAAUUAUCAAAAGUUGGUGUCUGAUAAUGUGAAUCUUAAAAAUAAAUUAUCCCGCUUGGAAAAUGAGACCGGCUCAAAAGAUGAACUUUUUCAAUUUGAGCAGAAAUUAAACGAUACUCGAGACGCUACCGAGAGACACAUUCAACAAGUUAAGACGUAUGUUGACAACAUUUCACAGAACUAUAGUUCAAUUAUUAACGGAAUAUCUUCAAAUGUGGCAAAUAUGACGGAACAGCAGGAUAACGACAGAGAAAUGG